GACGUAGGGUCCGAGCGUUGUCCGGAGUUACUGGGCGUAAAGGGCGCGUAGGCGGUCUGUCGCGUCGGAUGUGAAAACCCAGGGCUCAACCCUGGGCCUGCAUUCGAUACGGGCAGACUAGAGUGUGGCAGGGAAGACUGGAAUUCCUGGUGUAGCGGUGAAAUGCGCAGAUAUCAGGAGGAACACCGGUGGCGAAGGCGGGUCUCUGGGCCAAUACUGACGCUGAGGAGCGAAAGCGUGGGGAGCGAACAGG
rnacentral:rRNA from 1 species